rnacentral:rRNA from 1 species
AGCGAACGCUGGCGGCAGGCUUAACACAUGCAAGUCGAGCGCCCCGCCAGGGGAGCGGCAGACGGGAGAGUAACACGUGGGAACAUACCUUUUGGUUCGGAACAACUGAGGGAAACUUCAGCUAAUACCGGAUAAGCCCUUACGGGGAAAGAUUUAUCGUCGAAAGAUUGGCCCGCGUCUGAUUAGCUAGUUGGUGAGGUAACGGCUCACCAAGGCGACGAUCAGUAGCUGGUCUGAGAGGAUGAUCAGCCUCACUGGGACUGAGACACGGCCCAGACUCCUACGGGAGGCAGCAGUGGGGAAUAUUGGACAAUGGGGGCAACCCUGAUCCAGCCAUGCCGCGUGAGUGAUGAAGGCCUUAGGGUUGUAAAGCUCUUUUGCCCGGGAAGAUAAUGACGGUACCGGGAGAAUAAGCCCCGGCUAACUUCGUG